rnacentral:rRNA from 1 species
AGUGAACGCUGGCGGUAGGCCUAACACAUGCAAGUCGAACGGCAGCACAGGAGAGCUUGCUCUCUGGGUGGCGAGUGGCGGACGGGUGAGGAAUACAUCGGAAUCUACUCUGUCGUGGGGGAUAACGUAGGGAAACUUACGCUAAUACCGCAUACGACCUACGGGUGAAAGCAGGGGACCUUCGGGCCUUGCGCGAUUGAAUGAGCCGAUGUUGGAUUAGCUAGUUGGCGGGGUAAAGGCCCACCAAGGCGACGAUCCGUAGCUGGUCUGAGAGGAUGAUCAGCCACACUGGAACUGAGCCACGGUCCAGACUCCUACAGGAGGCAGCAGUGGGGAAUAUUGGACAAUGGGCGCAAGCCUGAUCCAGCCAUACCGCGUGGGUGAAGAAGGCCUUCGGGUUGUAAAGCCCUUUUGUUGGGAAAGAAAUCCAGCUGGCUAAUACCCGGUUGGGAUGACGGUACCCAAAGAAUAAGCACCGGCUAACUUCGUGCCAGCCGCCGCCGUAA